GGGGACGCGUGGUUUCGACAGGGGAGGUGCGCCACAGGAUUGCAGGCCGAGGUGCCAUCGCCUCGUAAAACAGGUGGCAAAAAAGUAACUGGCAGACAACCAGUAGCACUGGCUGCCUAACUAAGGCAGCCCAUCUACCUGGCCUCUCCUCGAUGGGCUGGAGUAGGUGCCGAAAUAUCGAGGUGCAGCGCCCCUGACGCCGAUGUGGAGCGCCCAAGACUUAUCGGCUGGCCCGACCUGGACUCGACCGGCAGAGGCCGGCCGGGCGAGAGCUAAAGAGCCGGUAAAGCUUGUAGUAUAUCCUGGACAACCUCUUCUGGACGGGGAGUUCGACUCUCCCCCGUCUCCACCA
rnacentral:tmRNA from 1 species